GAUGAACGCUAGCGGGAGGCCUAACACAUGCAAGCCGAGCGGUAGAGUUUCUUCGGAAACUUGAGAGCGGCGCACGGGUGCGUAACACGUGUGCAACCUACCUUUAUCUGGGGGAUAGCCUUUCGAAAGGAAGAUUAAUACCCCAUAAUAUAAUGAUUGGCAUCAAUUAUUAUUGACAACUCCGGUGGAUAGAGAUGGGCACGCGCAAGAUUAGAUAGUUGGUGAGGUAACGGCUCACCAAGUCAAUGAUCUUUAGGGGUCCUGAGAGGGAGAUCCCCCAGACUGGUACUGAGACACGGACCAGACUGCUAGGGGGGGCAGCAGUAAGGAAUAUUGGACGAGGGGUGAGGGCCUGACCCAGCCAUCCCGCGGGAAGGAGGACUGUCAUAGGGAAUGUAAACUUCUUGGGUGCAGGGAUAAACCUACCCUCGUGAGGGUAGCUGAAGGUACUGUACGAAUAAGCACCGGCUAACUCCGUG
rnacentral:rRNA from 1 species